CCUACGGGUGGCAGCAGUGGGGAAUUUUGGACAAUGGGGGCAACCCUGAUCCAGCCAUGCCGCGUGCGGGAAGAAGGCCUUCGGGUUGUAAACCGCUUUUAGCCGGGAAGAAAAGGCAAGGGAUAACACCCCUUGUUCUUGACGGUACCGGCGGAAUAAGCACCGGCUAACUACGUGCCAGCAGCCGCGGUAAUACGUAGGGUACGAGCUGUAAUCGGAAUUACUGGAGGCGGAGCGUGCGCUGGGUUGUGAAAGCCCCGGGCUCAACCUGGGAAUGGCAAUGGAAACUGGCGGACUGGAGUGCGGCAGAGGGGGGUGGAAUUCCGCGUGUAGCAGUGAAAUGCGUAGAGAUGCGGAGGAACACCGAUGGCGAAGGCAGCCCCCUGGGCCGACACUGACGCUCAGGCACGAAAGCGUGGGGAGCAAACAGGAUUAGAUACCCUGGUAGUC
rnacentral:rRNA from 1 species